UAGACAGUAGAUGAUUUUGAGCUGAUCAGAACAGCAGAUCUUAUCACUGUGUGAAGCUGAUGGAGGAAACAAACUGAAGAACAGAGCUGCAGCAGAGGAGGAGACACUGAAAUCCAACGUCACACUGCGGAAGUGAAAGAUAAAGAUAAAGACAGAGCUGCAGUUCAGACACGUCUCUGAGUUUCUCUGUGAAGAAGACUAACCUGAGUUCAUCUGGACUUUCACACACACUGACUCCAACACUGGUGUCCAGUUGUGUUUUUCUUUCCUUUCCCAGCCUUCAGCCAAGACCUCACCUUUCCAGCCAGCAGCCAUCCUGGACACCUGUCGCCAAUCAUCCCAUCAGCCGAUCAACCAAUCAACCUCCAGUCCUGCCCCUAUAUAUUGUUUUGCACCCUGUGUUUCUGCCUGUCUGUCUGUCUGAGAGAGAUCACUGCAUCUCUUGGAGAGCUUUUUGACGCUUUGACUAAAGUUUGAGACAUCUUGUUUUUGCCCUCCUCAGCCAAAGCUACUAUUUGAGGACUUACUUUUGUUAAACCCUGCCUGUCCCCACCUAGUGUGUUUUGUAGUCAACCCCAUUCUCUGUAUUGUCUUCUUCCCUGGAGAAGGGCUCCAGGUAAGACACCCCGGGGUCUACAUUUCUGCACGUAGGUGACUUUCUGUAUAUACACACUAGGUAAGUGUGGGCGGCUGCCACGAUCUUCUGUAGCAGGUAGGUAAGGUUCAGGCAUAGUUAGUGAGUUAGGGCUAGUCACUGGUUAAGAUAGUUAGGGUCAUAGGGUUGAGGUGUAGGAGAAGAUUAGGGUUUUUGUGUUUAGUGGCACCGCCCACAGGGCCCUUCUCCUAACGUCCGCCUGCCCUCCAUUAGCUCUCCCCAUUUUUGCUGUUUGCCAGUUUUUUUUUGUUUAGGAUUAUUACGUUUUGUUGUUUAAAGCCUGCUGGCUGCAUUCUGGCAUUUUUGUUGUAUCUUGUGAGUUUGUAACGUUGCUUCUGUUUAAUUAUCUUUUGUUAUAUAAAUUCCCUUUUCCUUUGGGGAAAAGGCCACCCAAACCCUUUUGUGCUGCACCUUGCUUCGUCCGCACACCACCUGAAGCAUUUACAUCAGCCAGUAGGCCUGCGCGUAAGCGUUGCGUUUCCCCCCCCGCUCCUAGCUUGGCCAUCUAUAACAUCUAAAGGGGGGGGACGUAAACAAUUUCAUUUUUUCAUUCUUUUAUUCUGGAAAGCUCUUUGGAACUGUGUUUUAGAAAAAUGCAACACUAACUGACUUUAAUAUGAUUAUUUUUAUUAUUAUUUUCAUUAUUAUUAUUAUUAUCAUUAUUAUUAUUAUAUUUUCUUUAUACGUCCUUCUUUACUUCUUAGAGAGCCGGGUCCAAACAAUGGUCCUGAGGCGCUAAAGGGUAGCUGUUACUUUCUACUUGACUGAUAGAACCCUCCGUAGUAUGUGUGCUGUUCCA
rnacentral:lncRNA from 1 species